GGACUCUCUUGCGGAGAAGACAAACACGAACACGGAUAAGAAGCAAGCAGCAGUUUGGCCGCUGCAGCCAUAUUUUCAGGCUUAUUUCUUGUUUUUGUGAAGGGGCCUCCACACAGAAUAUACCUUAACAGUGAAAUCCUAUACAUAUCUACUCAGACGUAACCCCCCCUCCCCGUGUUCAAGAGUACAUGAUUCCAGGUGUUACAUUUGUAUUCCACUCUUCCCCUAUGGGGCUUACAAGACUUUAUACUCACCGCAACACUUCCCUGAAGCCUCGAGGCAGGAUGAGGAUUUGAACUAGUACUUUGUAUGUCCAAGAAAAGAACUUUAUGCACUGUAUCAAAAUGGCUGUCCACAAAAUAAAGCCUUUCUGUUAAUGGACACAGCCCAGUUCAUGAAACAGAGGGAGCUCUUCCUAAGUAUGCAGCCUUUGUCACCUUCAUUUUUACACACGUGCAUCGUUAUUUAGAACUGAGUAGA